AUUGAACGCUGGCGGCAUGCUUUACACAUGCAAGUCGAACGGUAACAGGUUAAGCUGACGAGUGGCGAACGGGUGAGUAAUGCAUCGGAACGUGCCCAGUCGUGGGGGAUAACGCAGCGAAAGCUGUGCUAAUACCGCAUACGAUCUAUGGAUGAAAGCGGGGGACCGUAAGGCCUCGCGCGAUUGGAGCGGCCGAUGUCAGAUUAGCUAGUUGGUGGGGUAAAGGGCCCACCAAGGCGACGAUCUGUAGCUGGUCUGAGAGGACGACCAGCCACACUGGAACUGAGACACGGUCCAGACUCCUACGGGAGGCAGCAGUGGGGAAUUUUGGACAAUGGGCGCAAGCCUGAUCCAGCAAUGCCGCGUGCAGGAUGAAGGCCUCGGUUGUAACU
rnacentral:rRNA from 1 species